rnacentral:lncRNA from 1 species
AAAAUCCCUGGAGAUGCGAAAUAAUGUACUUAGAAUAUCUUCUGAUCGACAUUCGUCCCUUUAAAGUAUGACGUAAGUCCCAUUGCUGGCACAACCAUUUGUAGCACAACAGAUAAUAUGAACAAAUGAGACCAUUCGGCCAUUCAUCGAAGGCUAACAGGUUCAUUUCUCGCCAAGCUAGCAUUUCUUUUGUUGCAUGGAUGUGUAAUUUUUCUCCUUUGUUUCAUUUUCUUUGACAUCAGUUUUCAGGGUGUCCACUACUCUCUUCAACAUUAGCUUUAUUGCUUCCUCUGUUCUAGUUGAUAUGACUCUCUUUUCAUUUUGAAGUUGUCAGAUAUUUGCCACCAGUCUAACAGUAUUUUUCAAUGACUUUCACAUUUUCCAGAUCACAUUUGCUUAACUUCUUAAAAAUAACUUUGAUGUGGUUUUUCUCGACCAUACUAUUUUUUUGAUUGGUUCGACAAUACUACUUACUCUUUUGAUCAUUCCUUUGAUAUUUUAUUUGAUCACCACUAUAGAUAUGGAAAAAUUAGAAUACUACAUUCAAAUGUCAUAUAAAAUUAGAGGAAAGGAGUAUAAGUUUUUAGUCAAAGAGUUGGUAAUUUGUAUAGUUUAAUUUUAAAUGAUAAUGUUCGAUAUUAGACAUUGAGUCAACCUUCUUAAGAGAAACUAGAACACGCAAUCUGGGUUCGUGAGAGUACUUCAGAUGAGUUAUAUCUUAUAUUUCCAAUGAUAUGUUCCAUUUCUGGUAUUUUAAACAUUCGUGUAAAGAAAAAACAGAACACAUUCUAGAAUUGUUAAAUGACAAAGAAAGGUUUCUGUAUUGAGUGUUCACUUUUACCAAUAGGGUCUACCCUUGGGAUGAUGGUGUUUCACUUGACUCCCCGAGAAUUGCAACCUUUUUCCCCACCCAACACACCUUAGAACAUUUUUAGAUUAGAAUAUGUCGAAUUUACCUGUCCCUAUUGGUAGCAACAUACUUUUUACGGUUAGAAGUUUGACUUCCAAUGUUAUAGUUUCUUAUUCGCCAUCUCAGCAUGUGAUAUUUUGAAACUUCCGUUACUUCAAUCCACUACAAAAAACUACAUGUAUUAACAUGGCUUGUAGAGCACACACAUUCAUUUGCUUAUAGCGACAUAAGUAUCUAAAAAGGAGAGAAUUAUGAGUACAAUUAUUUUCCUAAUGUUCAUCAAACUGAUUUGACCCGCUCUAGAUUUUACAACUUGGGAUGGUGGAUGUACUUCAUAGUUCAUAUGGAUUGUUUCAUUAGUUUUCACAUGUUUCAUUUGAUGUAUUAUAAAUGUUCUGCAUAACAGAAAAACAAAACCCAUUCUAGAACUGUCCAAUGAAGCAGAGAAAGGUUGCAUAUUUUCUUUUGUCAAUUAGGGGUCUUCCCUUGGGGACAAUGGUCUUUCACGUGAUCUUUCUGUAAAUUGCAAUGAUUCGCCCCGACGCACCAGUUUGAUAGUUUCUUCUUCUUUGCCAUUUUGUCAUGAAAAUAUCCAAUACAUGGCAAGGUAAAUUUUUGGCUACAAAACAUUGAGUGAGAAUGUGUUAUCUGAAAUUGAUCAUUGGUGCAUUGCAUCAACCUGCUUAUGGAAACCACAUGUAGUAAAAUGACUUGGAGAGCAUAUGCAAUUUUAUUGCUUUUGGUUUCUAACGAGGAAAGUUCUUUC